rnacentral:rRNA from 1 species
AUUGAACGCUGGCGGCAGGCUUAACACAUGCAAGUCGAGCGAGCGGCGGACGGGUGAGUAAUGUCUGGGAAACUGCCUGCUGGCGGGGGAUAACUACUGGAAACGGUAGCUAAUACCGCAUACCAUCAGAUGUGCCAAGAUGGGAUUAGCUAGUAGGUGGGGUAAUGGCUCACAUAGGCGACGAUCCCUAGCUGGUCUGAGGGGAUGACCAGCAAGACGGGAACUGAGACACGGUCCAGACUCCUACGGGAGGCAGCAGUGGGGAAUAUGGCACAAUGGGCGCAAGCCUGAUGCAGCCAUGCCGCGUGUGUGAAGAAGGCGUUCGGGUUGUAAAGCACUUUCAGCGAGGAGGCGUUACUCGCAGAAGAAGCACCGGCUAACUCCGUGCCAGCAGCCGCGGUAAUUC